ensembl:lncRNA
CAGAACAGCGCUUGAGGAACACAGUGGCUGCACUGCGAGAGAUUAAGCGCCCUCGCUGUCUCUUUGUUAUAAUAAUUUUCAAAUGAGGUGGCCUUCCAGCAUCCAUGUGUUCAGUCAAGGUGAACUGGAGCUGGAAAGUUAGGGGAAGUGCCUGGGGUCCGUGUCGGGGUACUGUUUAAGCUGUGAGGAAAAAGCAUGGGAUCAAGACCUUAUAAAGGACUCCACCAGAUCUAAGCACAUGUAAUCUCAAGAGGACUGGCGUCUGAAAGAGUGCAGUCCCUGAGGCAUAGGGCCCAAUAAAUAAACCACCAGUGAAGAAGACGCUUACCCAUGUGUGGCACUGUGAGCCUCACUGAUCAGCAGGGCUUACUCUGUGGGCUCUGCUUUUUGGGGGACCUGAGGAGCCUACAGGGACACAGAAUCUGGAACCACUCCUGGAGAAAGGGAGACUUGGGAGAAAGAAGUUGAGCUGUUCUCGUGAGUCACUGAUGAAUAGGCACGUCUCAAGCCCAGAUGGAAAAGAGAUGUCAGAAGUGUUGAGAAGCAUUUGCUGCUGGCCAGUCCUUCCUUCGCUUUGUAGGGAGACACAUGCCAUUUCCAGAGGGAAAUUUUCCAGUCUAAUAAGGCUACCAUUCCCAAAUCCAAGAGUCAGUCAAAUGGGCGACGCCUGAAACCAAACUCUCCCAGACCCCGGAUUUCCAGUGCAUAAUUUAUCCUUGAGAAAGAGUUCUACUUUGGGGAAAUACUGCUUGGGUUUGCAAGUAACCUGGAACAUGAGUCUCAUUUCACAUUCAAUCUCACAGCUCCUUUCAUUGCUAACAAACCCACCCCAUGAGCUCCUACUGCAGCCAAGGCCAACAAUUCUUCGGUGUUAGUCCUUAUAGUGGCACUUUAGCAAUGCUCAUUCUUACACCCACAGUGGAAGCCUGUGUCCUGAGAGCCCUGGGCCCUGGAUACAGCAGCAUCAACUAUGAAUCUAUCAAUCUGAGUUGUCUUGUUCACUAGCCCAUUUGGCAAGACAAGUGGUAUGUCUUAGGAUUUCUAUUGCUGUAAUAAAACAACAUGACCCAAAGUAACUUAGGCAGGAAAGGGUUUAUUUCAUCUUACAACUUGUAGUCUAUCCUCCAGGGAAUUCAGGUCAGGAACUUGGAGGCAGGAACUGAAACAGAAGAAAUAGAGAAUGCUGCUUACUAACUUGUUUUGUUCCUUGUGGGUAGUUCGGCCACAGUUUCUUAGAGAAUGUAGAACCAUCAGUCCACCAUCUACAGUGACCUGGACCCUCCAAUAUCAAUCAUCAACCAAGAAAAUUCCCUACAGGCCAUUCUGGUGGGGGCAUCUUCUCACUUGAGGCAUCCUCUUCCCAAAUGACUCUUGCUUAUGUCAAGUUGACAUAAAACUAGGCUGUAGUAGUGUUUCUUUGUCAGGACCACCAGGCCACAAAUAAUGACAUGGAAAUUUAUUGCCAGUCAUGAAAGCUUGUAUUUUAGCUUAGGCUUAAUUCCAACUAGCACUUAUAACUUAAAUUAACCCAUAUUUUCUAAUCUGUGUUCUGCCAUGUGGCUUGUUAUCUCAUCUCUGUAUUGCAUGUCCUGUUUCCCCUACAUCUUGCUGGUAAAUAUGCCUUUCCUCUUCCCACAGUCCUCUCUCUGCCCGGAAGUUCCGCCUACUCUCUCCUGCCUAACUAUUAGCUUUUCAGCCCUUUAUUACACCAAUACAUCUUCACACAGUAUACAAAUAUCCCACAACACUAGCCAAAGUGCUUCUCAUUUCUCUCUGCUCAGCAAGUCUACUGUAAGCCUCAGGGGGUAAGUGAGGAAGUUGGAGGUACCACCAGAGAUGGGUCAGAAGUUUCCUAGAUCUUGGGGUUAAGCCUACAAGUUAGCUAAAUGCUAACUUGAGGUUUGGGAAUGGGGGAGCAAGACCAUUGGUGGUACAAAGAGCUUCAGAUAGCUCCCUCUCAAGGCUCUUAAACAGCUGGGUCACAGGGUGAGACUUUUCCAGAAUGUUCUACACUUCAAGCUGCCAUCUUGGUCAUCCAUGAAUUUUGGAAAAAGCCCAGAAAAAGAAAAUGACUUAACCAAACAAAUGUAGCAAAUG